GAUGAACGCUAGCGGCAGGCUUAACACAUGCAAGUCGAGGGGCAGCAUGGGGAGUAGCAAUACUCUCUGAUGGCGACCGGCGCAAGGGUGCGUAACGCGUGAGCAACUUGCCCUCAUCAGGGGAAUAAUCGCUGGAAACGGCGUCUAAUGCCCCAUGGUGAUGGUUCCAGGCAUCUGGUUCCAUCUAAAGAUCCGUCGGAUGAGGAUAGGCUCGCGUGACAUUAGCUUGACGGCGGGGUAACGGCCCACCGUGGCGACGAUGUCUAGGGGUUCUGAGAGGAAGGUCCCCCACACUGGAACUGAGACACGGUCCAG
rnacentral:rRNA from 1 species